CGGGAGGCAGCAGUGGGGAAUAUUGGACAAUGGGGGCAACCCUGAUCCAGCCAUGCCGCGUGUGUGAAGAAGGCCUUUUGGUUGUAAAGCACUUUAAGCAGGGAGGAGAGGCUAAUGGUUAAUACCCAUUAGAUUAGACGUUACCUGCAGAAUAAGCACCGGCUAACUCUGUGCCAGCAGCCGCGGUAAUACAGAGGGUGCGAGCGUUAAUCGGAAUUACUGGGCGUAAAGCGAGUGUAGGUGGCUCAUUAAGUCACAUGUGAAAUCCCCGGGCUUAACCUGGGAACUGCAUGUGAUACUGGUGGUGCUAGAAUAUGUGAGAGGGAAGUAGAAUUCCAGGUGUAGCGGUGAAAUGCGUAGAGAUCUGGAGGAAUACCGAUGGCGAAGGCAGCUUCCUGGCAUAAUAUUGACACUGAGAUUCGAAAGCGUGGGUAGCAAACAGGAUUAGAUACCCUGGUAGUCCACGCCGUAAACGAUGUCUACUAGCCGUUGGGGUCCUUGAGACUUUAGUGGCGCAGUUAACGCGAUAAGUAGACCGCCUGGGGAGUACGGCCGCAAGGUUAAAACUCAAAUGAAUUGACGGGGGCCCGCACAAGCGGUGGAGCAUGUGGUUUAAUUCGAUGCAACGCGAAGAACCUUACCUGGUCUUGACAUCCACGGAACUUUCCAGAGAUGGAUUGGUGCCUUCGGGAACCGUGAGACAGGUGCUGCAUGGCUGUCGUCAGCUCGUGUCGUGAGAUGUUGGGUUAAGCCCCGCAACGAGCGCAACCCUCGUUCUAUGUUGCCAGCACGUGAUGGUGGGGACUCAUAGGAGACUGCCGGGGUCAACUCGGAGGAAGGUGGGGAUGACGUCAAAUCAUCAUGCCCCUUAUGACCUGGGCUACACACGUGCUACAAUGGACAAUACAAAGGGCAGCGAAACCGCGAGGUCAAGCAAAUCCCAUAAAGUUGUUCUCAGUUCGGAUUGUAGUCUGCAACUCGACUACAUGAAGUUGGAAUCGCUAGUAAUCGCUGGUCAGCUAUACAGCGGUGAAUUCGUUCCCGGGCCUUGUACACACCGCCCGUCACA
rnacentral:rRNA from 1 species